GGUACGACGCUGUAAUAGAUGCGCUAAAGACUUCAUUUGAUUUUUCAUUAUUUGCGGAUAUUAAAUUCUCAUUAUUUAAUUUAGCCACAUUAUUUUUGUUCAUUUGGUUCAUUAUACCCUAUCUAUAUCUGCCUGAAUAUAUGAAAAUUCACGGUUACGAAGCAGCAGACUCCGCCCAUUUGAUUUCGAUUAUUGGCAUUGCGCAAACCAUUGGCAUGAUUUUUCUGGGUUAUAUCGGAGAUCGUCCGUGGCUGAAUGUGAAUAUUUGUUAUUCAGUGUGUAUGGCUGUUUGUGGCAUUUGGAA